AUACCUUUCUCGGCCUUUUGGCUAAGAUCAAGUGUAGUAUCUGUUCUUAUCAGUUUAAUAUCUGAUAUGUGGGUUAUUGGCCCACACGAUAUUAAAUUACUUUUUUAAGGGGGAGAGACCAUUUCAAUGGCUUGCUAUUGGGUCUUUCAUGUGUCGCCUCAGCUUUGCACUUAAUCUUUGGCCUGGCACACCCUCCAACAAUAGUAUUAAAAUUUUUAUUAAUUAAAAUAUUGUAAUAAUCUCUUUGUAUUUUAAUCUUUUACAUUAUCUUUUAAUAACAAGGAUCACCUGUCUUAAAUCAUAUCUUAAAUUUUGUCCUAAAUCAUUCAUAUUUUA